UUCUGAUUACAUCGACUUAAGUGAAAUUUUAUUUUUUUGAAUAAAAUCAAAGGGAGAACAGUGAUGAAACCGGAGGAUCGUCCUACCUUGGCAGUCCUUGAGAGCAGCGUCGAUGGCAUUGGCGGAAAGGACGGAUGUAGAACUGAUACAAGGAAUAUUAAAAAAUAAAUCUUCAGUGUCUCCACGGCGCAGCCACUUACCGUGUUGAGGGGGAACUCGCCCGGUCGGUGAUCCAGCAGAGGAGGCAAAAAUGAUGACUGCAGCUUGUCUUUUCCGGGGACAUUCGUGGCUCCCGGGGAGUGCGACAUAAACAACUUUAAGGAUGAUUAAGCACAUUCCCAGGAGAGCCUUCACUGCAGUGGAGCACUGUGGGGAAACUGAUACCUCCCUUCAAUAUGUAAGGUCUUGUUGGAAAACUGUGGCCAGUUUCUGUGAGAACUCACCAUCAACUCCGAUCUUGCCAUCACCAUCACUGUCACCAGCGGCAAGGAAGGCCUUGGUCUCCUUGUCAGUGAGAGCUCUGGCACCAGCAGAGAAGUUCUGCAGGAACAGCCUGUCAGGUGAACACAAGGGGAGAGCAGAAGUUAAAAUGAGAAGAUCACAGAACUCUGCAGGGAGGGGGAAAAAGGAGGAUUCAGUUUUCUAUGUUUUUUCAGAUGGACCCACCUUCCAUCCCAAUCUUCCCGUCAUUGUCUUUGUCUCCUGCAGACAUGAGCGUCUUGGUCUCGACCGCAGACAGCUCCCGUGCUCCAGGAGAGAAGUUCUGUAGAAACAGUCUGAUGGAUUGGAGAAAAAUGAAUUAAGUGCUCCGAUGAGUCCCACUUGUGCAAAGAAGGACCUGAAGUCGAAGCUGCCUGGAGCUACAAAGGAAGAAGAAGGAGACAAAGAGAGAGAAAGGCAGAGAGUGAGAGAGUUGAAUGGUGGAGAUGCCGUAUGCAAAGGUACUAUGGAGGAUGUGUUCUUGCUUUAAUGAUGACAUCCUUGCCAAGUCGGGGUCCCAAGUGUCCCAGCCUGUGCGUGUGCGCACUACUUUGACUCACCUUGACAAGCCUGGAC